CCGCCAACUUGACAGCUCCGGCUUGUUUCCUCGCAUUUGAGUUGGAGGCGCCUGGAAGGAGGAGAGAGCUGCAGCCUCGCCUCAGGAGCGGGGCCUAGGCGGGCCGCCCGCCCAAGGCACCGUCUCAAUGCAUUGACUCUCCACUAGGGGCGUGUUUUGUUUUUUUCUCUUUCUCUCAUUUUAGCCCCACAAAACUGCCCUGUGAGGGCGAGAAGCCAGGAAAAAAAGGGGGGGGGAUUCCUCUGAGGAUUUCAAACCUCCCCCCACACCACACACUCUAAGAGGGGCAACCUCAGUUGGGAGAAAGUGGCUGCUGCCUCAAAAGAGCCUCUUCUUGGUGCUGAAAUGGCUAUUUUGUAGCCUUCAGAUAUCCCCACAGUUCUGUGAGGUUCCUCUGGCUGGGAGAGAGUGGCUGCCUCUCAAAAAAGCUUAAUUUUCUAGGAGCAAUUUACUGCUCUUUAAAGAUAUCCACAGCCCUGUGAGGCUUCUCUGGGUGGCUGCCUCAAAAGAGCAUAAAUCUUAAAGGGCAAUUCUGUGGCUGGCCUAGGGUGUUUCCAGGGUUUUGUUAUGGGUGGCUUCCCCCCCAUUAUUUCUAUAUGCUGCUUGCAAUAUUGUUUAAAUACAAACUUAAAAUAUUGUUUAAAACCAAAAUAGGCUUUAAAUAGGAUAAAAUCUAAUAUGCAUAGACUAAAAUAGAAAAGAAUAGGAUAAAAUCUAAACAAAGUAAGCUAGUGUAUUAUAAUAUAGGAUCAUUAAUUUAAUAGGUGAAGUAAACAAAAAAAAUAGUGUGAAGCAUUAUCAAGCAGAUUAAAUAUUUUAGAACAAUUAGUGUAUUAAAAUAAUAUUCAAGGAAGCAUAUGGAAAGAAGGGGAAAAGCUUAUCAAUAAUAAAAUCCUGAGACCCCAGAAAGCCUAGGACUUCUUCCUCAACAGCAGUCCCUAAAAGAGCUGUGAGGGGCUAGAUCCAAGCCAGAUUGCCCAGACACCUUGCUCAGAGCAGCCUGCAAGGUAGCUGGAGUGUGGAUUUUUCAUGUGGACUUAAUGUUUUGCUUUGAGUAGUAACCCCUGUUCUAGCCAGAGCAUAGCUUUCUCAUAAUGGACUUUCUCUCGUUGCUCUGUGUAGCCCCUCAUUUAGUAGGAGUGUGCCUUUCUCUUUUGGGGCUUCACAUUUUUGCUCUGAGAAGCCCUUCAUUUAGCUGAACGGAGGCUGCCUCCAAUCCUGACUGCAUGACUUUGCCCUUCAUGCUCUGAGAAGGGGGUGAGGUGGCAUCUCUUGACUUGACCAGACAAUAAUCUUCAGCUUGGUCUGCCCUACCCAUGGAAGAAAUGAAGGGCAGUGGAAGUGUGGCAUCCCUGACCUCUUCAAACAGUGUGGUGUGCUGAGCAGACUCUGCUGGCUGAAAAAAUGUGGCAAAGUGGAGAAAAGACAGAAGAAAGAACUACAGAAGAAGAAACAAUCAGGAAGGAGCAACAGAAGACAUGAAAAGUGAAGGGGAGGAGGAGGAGACUAGCAUUAAGAAGUGUCACAGAAGAAACGGGCAGGUUCUGCUACUAGAAAUUGGUUGGCGUUGUUGAUGGUUUUAACUGCCAGUGUUCACUUUGAGUUCUGGCUGAUUUAUGUGGCUUUCUCAUGCUGGACUUAAUGUCUGUGCACUGGGUAUUUUUAUUUUAUUUAUUUACUUACUUACUUACUCCUAGUCCAGCACUCUAACCACUACACCACGCUGGCACAUCUGUGGCUACUCUGUGGAUUCAGUGUGGUGUAGUGGUUAGAGUGCUGGACUAGGACCAGGGAGACCCGAGUUCAAAUCCCCAUUCAGCCAUGAGACUUGCUGGGUGACUCUGGGCCAGUCACUUCCCUCUCAGCCUAACCUACUUCACAAGGUUGUUGUGACGAGAAACUGAAGUAUGUAGUACACCACUCUGGGUUCCUUGGCGGAAGAGCGGGAUAUAAAUGUAAAAAUAAUAAUAAUAAUAAUAAUAAUAAUAAUGUGGGUGGGACCUGGCUUUCUCAUGCUGGACUUCAUGUCUUUGCACUGAGGAGCCCUUAAAAUGGUUAGAGCAUGGCUUUCUCAGGAUGGUCUUAAUGUCAAUGCAUUGAGGAGCCCCUAAUUUGGGUAGGAUCUGGCUUUCACAUGCUGGAAAAAGCCCUGAAAAUGGUUGGAGGAUGCACUGAGGAGCCCCUAAGUAAGUUGGCAGUGAAGGUUGGGAUGUGGCUUUAUAUGACUGGACACUAUGUCUUUACUCUGAGUAUCCCCUAAAAUUGUUGGAACAUGCCUUCUCAGGCUGGACUUAGUGUCCAUGCACAGAGGAACACCAGAUUUGGGAGGGGUAUGGCUUUUCAGGCUGGACUUCAAGUCUUUUCUCUGAGUAGCCCCUGAUUUGGCUGGACGGUGGCCAACUGCAAUCAUGGCUGCGUGACUUCGCUCUUCAUGCUGUGAGUGGUGGUGAAGAGGCAUCUCCGACCUGCACAGACCACAUUCUUCAGUUGGGUCUGCCCUGCCUGCAGCAGAAGCGAGGGACGGUGGAAGUGCGGCAUCCCUGACCUCUUCAAGCAGUGUGGUGUGCGGAGCAGGCUCUGCUGGCUGAAGACACAUGGCAAAGGGUAGAAAAGUCAGAAGAAAGAACUGCAGAAGAAGGGAGAAAAAGAAGCGCAAAGGAGCAACAGAAGAUGUGAAAAGUGAAGAGAUUGGAGGAGGAGGAGGAGGCUGCUUUUAAAGAAGUUUCACAGAAGAAAUGGGCAGAUUGUGCUUCCACAAGUCGGCUGGCUUCAUUGCUGUCUUUCCCCCCACCAUGCAUCACUCUGAGUAGAGGCUCAUUUACCUGCAGCAUGGCUUUCUCAUGCUAGAUAUUAUGUGUGCAGAAGAUUCCCUAAUUUGGCUGGGAGGUGGCUUUUUAAGGCUAGACUUCAUGUCUUUGCACUCAGGAGCCCCUAAAAUUGUUGCAAUGCAUCCUUCUUGGCCUGGACUUGGAAUAUUACUUGGAAUAUUACUUGCAAUAACGAGCCCCUAAGUUGGCUGUGAUGGUUGGGAUGUGGCUUUAUAUGACUGGACACUAUGUCUUUACUCUGAGUAUCCCCUAAAAUUGUUGGAACAUGCCUUCUCAGGCUGGACUUAGUGUCCAUGCACAGAGGAACACCAGAUUUGGGAGGGGUAUGGCUUUUCAGGCUGGACUUCAAGUCUUUUCUCUGAAUAGCCCCUAAUUUGGCUGGGUGGUGGCCACCUCCGAUCAUGGCUGCAUGACUUCGCCCUUCAUGCUCUGAGUGGUAGUGAAGAGGAAUCUCCGACCUGCACAGACCACAUUCUUCAGUUGGGUCUGCCCUGCCUGCAGCGGAAGCGAGGGACGGUGGAAGUGCGGCAUCCCUGACCUCUUCAAGCAGUGUGCUGUGCUGAGCAGGCUCUGCUGGCUGAAGACACAUGGUGAGUGGCCUGUGAUCAGGCAAAGAGACACACCCUGAAGCCUUAAGCUUAGAAGACUCAUUCUCCCUGAGUUGAGGCUCUCUGGGGAUGGUCAUAAGAACAGCCCUGCUGGAUCAGGCCCAAGGCAAUCUAGUCCAGCAUCCUGUUUCACACAGUGGCCCACCAGAUGCCUCUGGGGAGCGCAUAGGCAAGAGGUAUGUGCAUGCCCUCUCUCCUACUGUUGUUCCCCUGCAGUUCGUAUUGAGAGGCAUCAUGCCUCUGAGGCUGGAGAUAGCCAUUGCUAGGCCUGUCCACCGUGAAUCUGUCUAAGCCCCCUUUAAAGCCAUCCAAGCUGCUGGCCAUCGCCACAUCCCAUGGCAAGGAAUGCCAUAGAUUUAUUAUGCACUGUGUGAAAAAGUUCUUCCUCUGGUCAGUCUUAAAUUUCCCAGCCUUCAGUUUCAUGGGAUGACCGCUGGUUUUGAGUUGUGAGAGAGGGAGAAAAAUGUCUCUCUGUCUACCCUCUCCACUCUGUGCAUAACCUUAUACACCUUGAUCUCCCCUUAGUUGCCUCUUUUCCAAAGUAGAGAGCCCUAGAUGCGUCUAGCCUUAUAAGGAAAGUGUUCCAGGCCCCUGAUUGUCUUGGCUGCCCUCUUCCUUGCACUGAGGGGACUGUAAUCUGGUGGGGAUGUGGCUUUUUCAGGCUAGACUUCAUGUCUUUGUACUAAGGAGCUGCUAAAAUGUUUGGACCAUUGGGUUCUAAGACUGGACAAAAUAUUCCUGUCACUGAGGAGCCCCUAAUGUAGCUAGAAGGUGGCUUUUUCAGGCUGGGCUUUGUGUCUUUGCACGGAGGAGCACCUAAAAUUACGGCAACUUCACCUUCUCGACUUAAAAUUCCUUGCACUGAGAGGACUGUAAUUUGGUGGGAAUGUGGCCUUUUCAGGCUAGACUUCAUGUCUUUGCACUGAGGAGCCCCUACAAUUGAUGGACCAUUGGUUUCUCAGGCUGGACAUAAUAUCCCUUGCACUGGGGAGCCCCUAAUUGGGCUGGGAUGUGUGUUUUUCUGGGUGGACUUUAUGUCUUUGCACUGAUGGGAUGGAAGAAGUGUAGCCCCAGACCUGUGCUUGAGCCCCAGACCUGUACUUGAGCUGAAAUCACUGAAGAUGGGGUGGGUAGCCAGGCUGGAUUGAGCCCCAGACCUGUGCUAUCCCUUGAACAAAGAAGUCUGCCCAGACAGCCAGAGAAACUGAAGAGGAAGAUUCUGAAAGAGAGCCUGGUCAGAACUGAGCAGUGUUAAAAAGCCUGCGGAGUGUUUGUUACCCUGACUUGGUCGGUGAGUAUUAUUUUGUAGUUUUCUCAGUCGGGACCUGAUAUUCCUUGAACUGAUGAUCCCCUGAUUUGGCUGGGAUGUAGCUUUUUCAGGCUAGACUUCAUGUCUUUGCACUGAGGAGCCCCUAAAAUUGUUGCAAGGCACCUUCUCGGGCUGGACUAAUAUUCCUUGCACAAGUAGCCGCUAAAAUUGUGGCAGCUUGGCCCUCUCAUGCUGGAUGUAAUAUUCCUUACAUAAGAAAAGCCCUGCUGCAUCAGGCCCAAGGCCCAUCUAGUCCAGCAUCCUGUUUUGCACAGUGGCCCACCAGAUGCUGCUGGAAGCCAGGCAGAAAUUGAGGGCAUGCCCUCUCUCCUGCUGUUACUCCCCUGCAACUGGCACUCAGAGGCAUCCUGCCUUUGAGGCUGGAGGUGGCCUAUAGCCCUCCAACUAGUAUUCAUUGCUAGACCUCUCCUCCAUGAGGUUAUCCAAACCCCUCUUAAAGCCAUCCAGGUUGUUGGCUGUCGCCACAUCUUGUGGCAGAGAAUUCCACAUGUUGAUUAUGUGUUGUGUGAAAAAGUACUUCCGUUUGUUUGUCCUCGACAUCCUGGCAAUUAGUUUCAUGGGAUGACCCCUGGUUCUAGUGUUAUGUGACAGGGAGAAGAUUUUCUCUCUAUCCACUUUCUUCACACCGUGCAGGAUUUUAUAGACUUCAGUCAUGUCUCCCUGCAGUCAUCUGUUUACUAAACUAAAGAGCCCAAGGUGGUGUAGCCUUGCCCCCUAAGGAAGGUGCUCUAGGCCCCUGAUCAUCUUGGUAGCCCUCUUCUGCACCUUUUCCAGUUCUACAAUGUCCUUUUUUUUUUAGAUGUGGAGACCAGAACUGUUUGCACUACUCCAAGUAUGGUCGCACCAUAGUUUUGUAUAAGGGCAUUAUAAUAUUAUCCGUUUUACUUUCAGUCCUCUUCCUAAUGAUCCCUAGCAUGGAACUGGCCUUUUGCACAGCUGCCGCACAUUGAGUCGACACAUUCAAGAGCUGUCCACCAUGUCCCCAAGAUCCCUCUCCUGGUCAGUUACUGACAGCUCAGAUCCCAUCAGCAUGUGCUUGAAGUUUGGGUUUUUCGUCCCAAUGUGCAUCACCUUACACUUGCCAACACUGAACUGCUUGUCGCCCAUUCACCCAGUUUGGAGAGAUCCUUUUGGAGCUCCUCACAAUCCGUUUUGGAUUUCACUAGCCGGAAGAGUUUGGUAUUAUCUGGCUGGGAGGUGGCUCUUUCAGGCUGGACUUCAUGUCUUUGCACUGAGGAGCCGCUAAGAUUAUGGCAAAGUGGCCUUCUCAGGCUGGAUGUUAUAUUCCUGUCACUGAGGAACCCCUAAUUUGGCUAGGAGGUGGCUCUUUCAGGCUGGACUUCAUGUCUUUGCACUGAGGAGCCCCUAAAGUUUUUGUAGCAUUGCGUUCUCAGGUUGAACAUAGUAUUCCUUGCACUGAGGAGCCUGUAAUUUGGCUGGGAGGUGGCUUUUUCAGGCUGGACUUCAUGUCUUUGCACUGAGGAGCCCCUAAAAUUGUGGCAACCUGUCCUUCUCAGGCUGGAUGUAAUAUUCCUUGCGAUGAGGAGGCCCUUAUUUGGCAGGGAUAUGGCUUUUUCAGGGUGGACUUCAUAUCUUUGAGCGGAUGGGAUGGAAGACGUGUAUGUAUUGGGGGUGUUUGAGAGGGAUAAAAGGAGCUGGAGACCAGUUGAGUCAGGCUGAGAGAGUCUGCAGAAGAAGAGCUGAGAAAAGGCGACUGGAGAGAGAAACCUGGGAAGAAGAGCUGGCAAAAGAAAGCUGGGAGAGAACGAAGGAAACGGACAACUGGUGGUUGCUGGAGACUGCUGGAGUUGCCCAGCUAGCAAGACAGGACUUUGAGGCUUUGAGCCAGGCUGGAUUGAGCCCCAGACUUGUGCUUGAGCUGCAUUCACUGAAGAUGGGGUGGGUAGCCAGGCUGGAUUGAGCCCCAGACCUGUGCUUGAGCUGAAAUCACUGAAGAUGGGGUGGGUAGCCAGGCUGGAUUGAGCCCCAGACCUGUGCUUGAGCUGAAAUCACUGAAGAUGGGGUGGGUAGCCAGGCUGGAUUGAGCCCCAGACCUGUGCUAUCCCUUGAACAAAGAAGUCUGCUCAGACAGCCAGAGAAAGAGAAGAGGAAGAUUCUGAAAGAGAGCCUGGUCAGAACUGUGCAGUGUUAAAAAGCCUACACACUGACUUGCUCGGUGAGUAUUAUUUUGUGGUUUUCUGAGUCGGUACCUGAUAAUCCUUGAACUGACAAUCCCCUGCUUUGGCUGGGAUGUAGCUUUUUCAGGCUAGACUUCAUGUCUUUGCACUGAGGAGCCCCUAAAAUUUUUGCAAUGCACCCUUCUCGGGCUGGACUAAUAUUCCUUGCACAAGUAGCCGCUAAAAUUGUGGCAGCUUGGCCCUCUCACGCUGGAUGUAAUAUUCCUUACAUAAGAAAAGCCCUGCUGCAUCAGGCCCAAGGCCCAUCUAGUCCAGCAUCCUGUUUUGCACAGUGGCCCACCAGAUGCUGCUGGAAGCCAGGCAGAAAUUGAGGGCAUGCCCUCUCUCCUGCUUUUACUCCCCUGCAACUGACACUCAGAGGCAUCCUGCCUUUGAGGCUGGAGGUGGCCUAUAGCCCUCCAACUAGUAUUCAUUGCUAGACCUCUCCUCCAUGAGGUUAUCCAAACCCCUCUUAAAGCCAUCCAGGUUGUUGGCUGUCGCCACAUCUUGUGGCAGAGAAUUCCACAUGUUGAUUAUGUGUUGUGUGAAAAAGUACUUCCGUUUGUUGGUCCUCGACCUCCUGGCAAUCAGUUUCAUGGGAUGACCCCUGUUUCUAGUGUUAUGUGACAGGGAGAAGAUUUUCUCUCUAUCCACUUUCUUCACACCGUGCAGGAUUUUAUAGACCUCAGUCAUGUCUCCCUGCAGUCGUCUGUUUACUAAACUAAAGAGCCCAAGGUGGUGUAGCCUUGCCCCCUAAGGAAGGUGCUCUAGGCCCCUGAUCAUCUUGGUAGCCCUCUUCUGCACCUUUUCCAGUUCUACAAUGUCCUUUUUUUUUAGACGUGGUGACCAGAACUGUUUGCACUACACCAAGUGUGGUCGCACCAUAGUUUUGUUUAAGGGCAUUAUAAUAUUAGCCAUUUUACUUUCCCCUUCCAAAUGAUCUCUAGCAUGGAACUGGCCUUUUGCACAGCUGCCGCACAUUGAGUCGACACAUUUAAGAGCUGUCCACCAUGUCCCCAAGAUCCCUCUCCUGGUCAGUUACUGACAGCUCAGAUCCCAUCAGCAUGUGCUUGAAGUUUGGGUUUUUCGUCCCAAUGUGCAUCACCUUACACUUGCCAACACUGAACUGCUUGUCGCCCAUUCACCCAGUUUGGAGAGAUCCUUUUGGAGCUCCUCACAAUCCGUUUUGGAUUUCACUAGCCGGAAGAGUUUGGUAUUAUCUGGCUGGGAGGUGGCUCUUUCAGGCUGGACUUCAUGUCUUUGCACUGAGGAGCCCCUAAAGUUUUUGUAGCAUUGUGUUCUCAGGUUGAACAUAGUACUCCUUGCACUGAGGAGCCUGUAAUUUGGCUGGGAGGUGGCUUUUUCAGGCUGGACUUCAUGUCUUUGCACUGAGGAGCCCCUAAAAUUGUGGCAACCUGUCCUUCUCAGGCUGGAUGUAAUAUUCCUUGCGAUGAGGAGGCCCUUAUUUGGCAGGGAUGUGGCUUUUUCAGGCUAGACUUCAUGUCUUUGCACUGAGGAGCCCCUACUAUUGUGGCAACUCCGACUUAUCAGGUAGACUUAAUAUUCCUUGCACUGAGGAGCCUGUAAUUUGGCUGGGAGGUGGUUUUUUCAGGCUGGACUUCAUGUCUUUGCACUGAGGAGCCCCUACUAUUGUGGCAACUCCGACUUAUCAGGUAGACUUAAUAUUCCUUGCACUGAGGAGCCUGUAAUUUGGCUGGGAGGUAGCUUUUUCAGGCUGGACUUCAUGUCUUUGCACUGAGGAGCCCCUACUAUUGUGGCAACUCCGACUUAUCAGGUAGACUUAAUAUUCCUUGCACUGGGGAGCCUGUAAUUUGGCUGGGAGGUGGCUUUUUCAGGCUGGACUUCAUGUCUUUGCACUGAGGAGCCCCUAGAAUUGAUGGACCAUUGGGUUCUCAGGAUGGACGUAAUAUCCCUUGCACUGGGGAGCCCCUAGUUUGGCUGGGAUGUGGUUUUUCUGGGUGGACUUCAUGUCUUUGCACUGAGGAGCCCCUACUAUUGUGGCAACUCCGACUUAUCAGGUAGACUUAAUAUUCCUUGCACUGAGGAGCCUGUAAUUUGGCUGGGAGGUAGCUUUUUCAGGCUGGACUUCAUGUCUUUGCACUGAGGAGCCCCUACUAUUGUGGCAACUCCGACUUAUCAGGUAGACUUAAUAUUCCUUGCACUGGGGAGCCUGUAAUUUGGCUGGGAGGUGGCUUUUUCAGGCUGGACUUCAUGUCUUUGCACUGAGGAGCCCCUAGAAUUGAUGGACCAUUGGGUUCUCAGGAUGGACGUAAUAUCCCUUGCACUGGGGAGCCCCUAGUUUGGCUGGGAUGUGGUUUUUCUGGGUGGACUUCAUGUCUUUGAGCUGAUGCGAUGGAAGAAGUGUAUAUACUGGGGAUGUUUGAGGGGGAUAAAAAGAGCUGGAGUCCAGUUGAGUCAGGCUGAGAGAGUCUGCAGAAGAAGAGCUGAGAAAAGGCGACUGGAGAGAGAAACCUGGGAAGAAGAGCUGGCAAAAGAAAGCUGGGAGAUAAUGAAGGAAGCGGACAACUGGUGGUUGCUGGAGACUGCUGGAGUUGCCCAGCUAUCAAGACAGGACUUUGAGACUUUGAGCCAGGCUUGAUUGAGCCCCAGACCUGCGCUUGAGCUGAAAUCACUGAAGAUGGGGUGGGUAGCCAGGCUGGAUUGAGCCCCAGACCUGUACUUGAGCUGAAAUCACUGAAGAUGGGGUGGGUAGCCAGGCUGGAUUGAGCCCCAGACCUGUGCUUGAGCUGAAAUCACUGAAGAUGGGGGAGUAGCCAGGCUGGAUUGAGCCCCAGACCUGUGCUAUCCCUUGAACAAAGAAGUCUGCCCAGACAGCCAGAGAAAGAGAAGAGGAAGAUUCUGAAAGAGAGCCUGGUCAGAACUGAGCAGUGUUAAAAAGCCUACACACUGACUUGCUCGGUGAGUAUUAUUUUGUGGUUUUCUCAGUCAGUACCUGAUAAUCCUUGAACUGACAAUCCCCUGCUUUGGCUGGGAUGUAGCUUUUUCAGGCUAGACUUCAUGUCUUUGUACUGAGGAGCCCCUAAAAUUUUUGCAAUGCACCCUUCUCGGGCUGGACUAGGAGCCGCUAAGAUUAUGGCAAAGUGGCCUUCUCAGGCUGGAUGUUAUAUUCCUGUCACUGAGGAACCCCUAAUUUGGCUAGGAGGUGGCUCUUUCAGGCUGGACUUCAUGUCUUUGCACUGAGGAGCCCCUACUAUUGUGGCAACUCCGACUUAUCAGGUAGACUUAAUAUUCCUUGCACUGAGGAGCCUGUAAUUUGGCUGGGAGGUGGCUUUUUCAGGCUGGAUUUCAUGUCUUUGCACUGAGGAGCCCCUAAAAUUGUGGCAACCUGUCCUUCUCAGGCUGGAUGUAAUAUUCCUUGCGAUGAGGAGGCCCUUAUUUGGCAGGGAUGUGGCUUUUUCAGGGUGGACUUCAUGUCUUUGCACUGAGGAGCCCCUAGAAUAGAUGGACCAUUGGGUUCUCAGGAUGGACAUAAUAUCCCUUGCACUGGGGAGCCCCUAGUUUGGCUGGGAUGUGGUUUUUCUGGGUGGACUUCAUGUCUUUGAGCUGAUGGGAUGGAAGAAGUGUAUAUACUGGGGAUGUUUGAGGGGGAUAAAAAGAGCUGGAGUCCAGUUGAGUCAGGCUGAGAGAGUCUGCAGAAGAAGAGCUGAGAAAAGGCGACUGGAGAGAGAAACCUGGGAAGAAGAGCUGGCAAAAGAAAGCUGGGAGAGAACGAAGGAAACGGACAACUGGUGGUUGCUGGAGACUGCUGGAGUUGCCCAGCUAGCAAGACAGGACUUUGAGACUUUGAGCCAGGCUGGAUUGAGCCCCAGACCUGUGCUUGAGCUGCAUUCACUGAAGAUGGGGUGGGUAGCCAGGCUGGAUUGAGCCCCAGACCUGUGCUUGAGCUGAAAUCACUGAAGAUGGGGUGGGUAGCCAGGCUGGAUUGAGCCCCAGACCUGCGCUUGAGCUGAAAUCACUGAAGAUUGGCGGAGUAGCAAGGCUGGAUUGAGCCCCAGACCUGUGCUUGAGCUGCAUUCACUGAAGAUGGGGUGGGUAGCCAGGCUGGAUUGAGCCCCAGACCUGUGCUUGAGCUGAAAUCACUGAAGCUGGGGUGGGUAGCCAGGCUGGAUUGAGCCCCAGACCUGCGCUUGAGCUGAAAUCACUGAAGAUUGGCGGAGUAGCAAGGCUGGAUUGAGCCCCAGACCUGUGCUUGAGCUGCAUUCACUGAAGAUGGGGUGGGUAGCCAGGCUGGAUUGAGCCCCAGACCUGUGCUUGAGCUGAAAUCACUGAAGAUGGGGUGGGUAGCCAGGAUGGAUUGAGCCCCAGACCUGCGCUUGAGCUGAAAUCACUGAAGAUUGGCGGAGUAGCGAGGCUGGAUUGAGCCCCAGACCUGUGCUAUCCCUUGAACAAAGAAGUCUGCCCAGACAGCCAGAGAAAGAGAAGAGGAAGAUUCUGAAAGAGAGCCUGGUCAGAACUGUGCAGUGUUAAAAAGCCUACAGAGUGUUUGUUACCCUGACUUGGUCGGCGAGUAUUAUUUUGUAGUUUUCUCAGUCGGGACCUGAUAUUCCUUGAACUGAUGAUCCCCUGAUUUGGCUGGGAUGUAGCUUUUUCAGGCUAGACUUCAUGUCUUUGCACUGAGGAGCCCCUACUAUUGUGGCAACUCCGACUUAUCAGGUAGACUUAAUAUUCCUUGCACUGAGGAGCCUGUAAUUUGGCUGGGAGGUGGCUUUUUCAGGCUGGACUUCAUGUCUUUGCACUGAGGAGCCCCUACUAUUGUGGCAACUCCGACUUAUCAGGUAGACUUAAUAUUCCUUGCACUGAGGAGCCUGUAAUUUGGCUGGGAGGUGGCUUUUUCAGGCUGGACUUCAUGUCUUUGCAUUGAGGAGCCCCUACUAUUGUGGCAACUCCGACUUAUCAGGUAGACUUAAUAUUCCUUGCACUGAGGAGCCUGUAAUUUGGCUGGGAGGUAGCUUUUUCAGGCUAGACUUCAUGUCUUUGCACUGAGGAGCCCCUACUAUUGUGGCAACUCCGACUUAUCAGGUAGACUUAAUAUUCCUUGCACUGAGGGGACUGUAAUUUGGCUGGGAGGUGGCUUUUUCAGGCUGGACUUCAUGUCUUUGCACUGAGGAGCCCCUACUAUUGUGGCAACUCCGACUUAUCAGGUAGACUUAAUAUUCCUUGCACUGAGGAGCCUGUAAUUUGGCUGGGAGGUAGCUUUUUCAGGCUGGACUUCAUGUCUUUGCACUGAGGAGCCCCUACUAUUGUGGCAACUCCGACUUAUCAGGUAGACUUAAUAUUCCUUGCACUGAGGAGCCUGUAAUUUGGCUGGGAGGUGGCUUUUUCAGGCUGGACUUCAUGUCUUUGCACUGAGGAGCCGCUAAGAUUAUGGCAAAGUGGCCUUCUCAGGCUGGAUGUUAUAUUUCUGUCACUGAGGAACCCCUAAUUUGGCUAGGAGGUGGCUCUUUCAGGCUGGACUUCAUGUCUUUGCACUGAAGAGCCCCUAAAGUUUUUGUAGCAUUGUGUUCUCAGGUUGAACAUAGUAUUCCUUGCACUGAGGAGCCUGUAAUUUGGCUGGGAGGUGGCUUUUUCAGGCUAGACUUCAUGUCUUUGCACUGAGGAGCCCCUAGAAUUGAUGGACCAUUGGGUUCUCAGGAUGGACGUAAUAUCCCUUGCACUGGGGAGCCCCUAGUUUGGCUGGGAUGUGGUUUUUCUGGGUGGACUUCAUGUCUUUGAGCUGAUGCGAUGGAAGAAGUGUAUAUACUGGGGAUGUUUGAGGGGGAUAAAAAGAGCUGGAGUCCAGUUGAGUCAGGCUGAGAGAGUCUGCAGAAGAAGAGCUGAGAAAAGGCGACUGGAGAGAGAAACCUGGGAAGAAGAGCUGGCAAAAGAAAGCUGGGAGAUAAUGAAGGAAGCGGACAACUGGUGGUUGCUGGAGACUGCUGGAGUUGCCCAGCUAGCAAGACAGGACUUUGAGACUUUGAGCCAGGCUGGAUUGAGCCCCAGACCUGCGCUUGAGCUGAAAUCACUGAAGAUGGGGUGGGUAGCCAGGCUGGAUUGAGCCCCAGACCUGUACUUGAGCUGAAAUCACUGAAGAUGGGGUGGGUAGCCAGGCUGGAUUGAGCCCCAGACCUGUGCUUGAGCUGAAAUCACUGAAGAUGGGGGAGUAGCCAGGCUGGAUUGAGCCCCGGACCUGUGCUAUCCCUUGAACAAAGAAGUCUGCCCAGACAGCCAGAGAAAGAGAAGAGGAAGAUUCUGAAAGAGAGCCUGGUCAGAACUGUGCAGUGUUAAAAAGCCUACACACUGACUUGCUCGGUGAGUAUUAUUUUGUGGUUUUCUGAGUCGGUACCUGAUAAUCCUUGAACUGACAAUCCCCUGCUUUGGCUGGGAUGUAGCUUUUUCAGGCUAGACUUCAUGUCUUUGCACUGAGGAGCCCCUAAAAUUUUUGCAAUGCACCCUUCUCGGGCUGGACUAAUAUUCCUUGCACAAGUAGCCGCUAAAAUUGUGGCAGCUUGGCCCUCUCACGCUGGAUGUAAUAUUCCUUACAUAAGAAAAGCCCUGCUGCAUCAGGCCCAAGGCCCAUCUAGUCCAGCAUCCUGUUUUGCACAGUGGCCCACCAGAUGCUGCUGGAAGCCAGGCAGAAAUUGAGGGCAUGCCCUCUCUCCUGCUUUUACUCCCCUGCAACUGACACUCAGAGGCAUCCUGCCUUUGAGGCUGGAGGUGGCCUAUAGCCCUCCAACUAGUAUUCAUUGCUAGACCUCUCCUCCAUGAGGAUAUCCAAACCCCUCUUAAAGCCAUCCAGGUUGUUGGCUGUCGCCACAUCUUGUGGCAGAGAAUUCCACAUGUUGAUUAUGUGUUGUGUGAAAAAGUACUUCCGUUUGUUUGUCCUCGACAUCCUGGCAAUUAGUUUCAUGGGAUGACCCCUGGUUCUAGUGUUAUGUGACAGGGAGAAGAUUUUCUCUCUAUCCACUUUCUUCACACCGUGCAGGAUUUUAUAGACCUCAGUCAUGUCUCCCUGCAGUCAUCUGUUUACUAAACUAAAGAGCCCAAGGUGGUGUAGCCUUGCCCCCUAAGGAAGGUGCUCUAGGCCCCUGAUCAUCUUGGUAGCCCUCUUCUGCACCUUUUCCAGUUCUACAAUGUCCUUUUUUUUUUUAGAUGUGGAGACCAGAACUGUUUGCACUACUCCAAGUAUGGUCGCACCAUAGUUUUGUAUAAGGGCAUUAUAAUAUUAGCCGUUUUACUUUCAGUCCUCUUCCUAAUGAUCCCUAGCAUGGAACUGGCCUUUUGCACAGCUGCCGCACAUUGAGUCGACACAUUCAAGAGCUGUCUACCAUGUCCCCAAGAUCCCUCUCCUGGUCAGUUACUGACAGCUCAGAUCCCAUCAGCAUGUGCUUGAAGUUUGGGUUUUUCGUCCCAAUGUGCAUCACCUUACACUUGCCAACACUGAACUGCUUGUCGCCCAUUCACCCAGUUUGGAGAGAUCCUUUUGGAGCUCCUCACAAUCCGUUUUGGAUUUCACUAGCCGGAAGAGUUUGGUAUUAUCUGGCUGGGAGGUAGCUUUUUCAGGCUGGACUUCAUGUCUUUGCACUGAGGAGCCGCUAAGAUUAUGGCAAAGUGGCCUUCUCAGGCUGGAUGUUAUAUUCCUGUCACUGAGGAACCCCUAAUUUGGCUAGGAGGUGGCUCUUUCAGGCUGGACUUCAUGUCUUUGCACUGAGGAGCCCCUACUAUUGUGGCAACUCCGACUUAUCAGGUAGACUUAAUAUUCCUUGCACUGAGGAGCCUGUAAUUUGGCUGGGAGGGGGCUUUUUCAGGCUGGACUUCAUGUCUUUGCACUGAGGAGCCGCUAAGAUUAUGGCAAAGUGGCCUUCUCAGGCUGGAUGUUAUAUUCCUAUCACUGAGGAACCCCUAAUUUGGCUAGGAGGUGGCUCUUUCAGGCUGGACUUCAUGUCUUUGCACUGAGGAACCCCUACUAUUGUGGCAACUCCGACUUAUCAGGUAGACUUAAUAUUCCUUGCACUGAGGAGCCUGUAAUUUGGCUGGGAGGGGGCUUUUUCAGGCUGGACUUCAUGUCUUUGCACUGAGGAGCCCCUAGAAUAGAUGGACCAUUGGGUUCUCAGGAUGGACAUAAUAUCCCUUGCACUGGGGAGCCCCUAGUUUGGCUGGGAUGUGGUUUUUCUGGGUGGACUUCAUGUCUUUGAGCUGAUGGGAUGGAAGAAGUGUAUAUACUGGGGAUGUUUGAGGGGGAUAAAAAGAGCUGGAGUCCAGUUGAGUCAGGCUGAGAGAGUCUGCAGAAGAAGAGCUGAGAAAAGGCGACUGGAGAGAGAAGCCUGGGAAGAAGAGCUGGCAAAAGAAAGCUGGGAGAGAACGAAGGAAACGGACAACUGGUGGUUGCUGGAGACUGCUGGAGUUGCCCAGCUAGCAAGACAGGACUUUGAGACUUUGAGCCAGGCUGGAUUGAGCCCCAGACCUGUGCUUGAGCUGCAUUCACUGAAGAUGGGGUGGGUAGCCAGGCUGGAUUGAGCCCCAGACCUGUGCUUGAGCUGAAAUCACUGACGAUGGGGUGGGUAGCCAGGCUGGAUUGAGCCCCAGACCUGCGCUUGAGCUGAAAUCACUGAAGAUUGGCGGAGUAGCAAGGCUGGAUUGAGCCCCAGACCUGUGCUUGAGCUGCAUUCACUGAAGAUGGGGUGGGUAGCCAGGCUGGAUUGAGCCCCAGACCUGUGCUUGAGCUGAAAUCACUGAAGAUUGGCGGAGUAGCGAGGCUAGAUUGAGCCCCAGACCUGUGCUAUCCCUUGAACAAAGAAGUCUGGCCAGACAGCCAGAGAAAGAGAAGCGGACGAUUCUGAAAGAGAGCCUGGUCAGAACUGUGCAGUGUUAAAAAGCCUACAGAGUGUUUGUUACCCUGACUUGGUCGGUGAGUAUUAUUUUGUAGUUUUCUCAGUCGGGACCUGAUAUUCCUUGAACUGAUGAUCCCCUGAUUUUGCUGGGAUGUAGCUUUUUCAGGCUAGACUUCAUGUCUUUGCACUGAGGAGCCCCUACAAGUUUUGGACCAUUGCGUUCUCAGGAAGGACAUAAUAUUCCUUGCACUGAGGUGUCCCUGAUUUGGCUGGGAGUUGGCUCUUUCAGGCUAGACUUCAUGUCUUUGCACUGAGGAGCCCCUAAAAUGGUUGGAUCGUGGCCUUCUCAGGCUGGACUUAAUGUCCCGUGUGCACGGAGUAGCCCCUGUUUUGGGUGGGGCGUGGCCUUCUCAUGCUGGCCUUUGCCUGCCCUCUAAGGAGCCUUUCAUUUAGCUGGGGGGUGGCUGCUCUAAUCCUGGAUGUGACACUUUCCUCUUCUUGUUCUGAGUGGUGUUGAAGUGGGACCUCUGCCCUGCCUUGGCCAUAUUCUUCUGUUUGGUCUCCCCUGUCCAUGGGGGAAGCGAGCGACAGCGGAAGUGCGGCCUCCCUGACCCCUCCAGGCCAACUCGUGUGCUGAGCAGGUUCUGCCCAAUGAAGUCACACAGUGAGUGGACUCUGUUCUGGCAAGGAGACAUUUCCAUAAACUAAGCUUCAAAUUCCCCUCUCCUUAGGUUGCGGCUCUAUGGUGAACAGAGAUGUUCUUAAGAAACCAUUCUGCCUUGUCAACGUGGGGUCGGGUGAAGGAGGCCAGUUGGACUGCAAAGCAGAAAAGCAUUGAAUCCCUGGCACGUAUGAGGCUUCUCUUCUUCGCUUGGAAGGUAAUGAAGAAAAGAGCAGGAAGAGAAAAAUCAGCAGGGAAGAGCAACUGGAGACUUGAAGAGUGGAGACGCUGGAGGAGGAAAAAGAGAGUGGCUUUAAAGAAGCAGCACAAGCAACAGGCAGAAACUCCUUCCACAAGUGGAAGAGAACGAAGAAAAGACAGAAGAAACCGCUGCAGAGGAAGGGAGAAAAGCAAGCAGAAAGGAGCAGCAGGAGAUGUUGGAGGAGAAGGAAAGAGAGGAGAAGACAGCCUUGAAAGAAGCUUCACAGAAGAAACGGACGGGUUGUGCUUCCACCAGUCGACUGGCUUCUUUGCUGGCUUUCUCUCUGCUGCGGACUGCUCUGUGUGUAGCCCCUGAGGAAGCUGCAGCGUGGAUGGACUUGUGGGGGUUCAGGUUUUAUUAUUGUUGACCUAUUUCUUCUCAUUAUUGCUCUAUGCAACCUUCAAUAUUUUUUAAUACAAAGUUUGAUUUAUUCCAUUUUUAAGUCACAACAAAAAUAGGAAUUAAAAUAAUAGGAAAUAAAAUAGGAAUUAAAUAGGAAUUAAAAUAGGAGAUAAAAUAAAAUAGGCAAUAAAAUAUUAGGAGAUAAAAUAAAAUAGGCAACAAAAUAUUAGGAGAUAAAUGGGCUAUAACUGAUUGACCAGAAAAAGUGAGCAGAAAAUUAGUAUGAAAUAUUCUCAAAUCACUUUAGAUCAUGUUGGAAGGUCAAUUUUUGUAUUAAAAUAAUAAUUGAGCAAGCAUACAGAGGCGAGGAAACAAAUUAUGUCAACAGUAAUAUACUCCUGGACACUCCAAAGGCCGCCCCACGUAUUGCUCAGAGCAUCCCCGAAGAGAUCUGGAGAGCGGCUCCCUCUGAGCCUCUGCUGGCUGAGGAUGCACCACGAGGCGGCUUUGGCGGCUUUGGUCAGCAUUCCUACUUCUCGUCCGACGACUGUUCAGCACAUCUGGAAAGGUUUACCAUACAAGGCUACCAAAAGACAAAAUGUGUGUCCCCUUGAACCAAUCUGGAAAUAAUUUCUAGCUGUAUCAUUUGCAAAAGUGCUGGAUUAUGGGAGAGCAUCUGAAGCCAAAAAUGGAGUCGAGCUGCUUCUUUCAAAGCAGGAGACAAGACCCUGUUCCUCAAAGGGAGAUGCAGGGAUGGAUGGAGCCCUGAGAAGCUCGCUUUCUUCCUGGGGCUGAAGAACACGAAAAGAGAGAUCUUGGCGUUGAAGUGGAGCAGAGCCAAAGCGCCCUCUUCUUCAGCACACGUGGGAAUCUCCCCCCACAAAAAAAAACAAAAACCACUGUGGCUACUUCUGUGCUCUGCUUGUUUAAUCCUAAGAGAUUUCCCUGCUGGCAACCUGUUUCUUACCAGAGUUAACAAGAUGAACAUAUUAUAGGGGUGGGAUAGGAUUGGAUGCUGAAUAUGAUAAAUAAAUAAAGAUGGUGUCCUCCCUCCUGGUUCCCCAAUUCCCUUAGAAAGCUGUGCCCUCCCAUGCAAUACAAAUGCACUGUAGUUCUAGUUUUCUCCCAUUGGAAUCCUCUCCUUGUUCUCUUUUCGCAAACCUGGAGCCAUCUGUCCGUUUUAACAUAUUUCCAUACAAACGCGUUUCUCUUUCA